rnacentral:pre_miRNA from 1 species
AGGUCCGAUAGUCUAUCUUUCUAUGAUAUACAACCUGAAACUUAGUCUAUCGGAUCUAG